GCAACAACAGCCAGAAGGACCCACCCACAGGAGCUUAAACUGGAGCAGUGGCAUGAGGUGGACAGCAGGACAAGGUGAAGAAAGUUCCAGUUUUCUGACUGGAGGAUUGAAAUGGGGAGCUCCAGCACAUCUGAAAAGUGCCAGGACAUCGUGGAGGAAAAGGAGCUCAGAACACCAGGACAUCGUGGAGGAAAAGGAGCUCAGAACACCAAAUCCAUGAAGCUGUUUAUGAACAUCUGGGCUCACCUCUGAACUAUGCAUGCAUAGAUCUGACUUGAAACAUAUGUACAAUUUUCAUAAGACUUAAACAAGACCUCGAAUACUGUACCAUAAUAUUCAAAUUGUCCAACAUACAAUCCAAAAUUACUUAAUAUAAGGCCAGGCACAGUA
rnacentral:lncRNA from 1 species